AGAAGGCCUUUCCAUCUCUGU
rnacentral:miRNA from 1 species